CAGCGCGCCCGGACGCGCGGGCCGGGGAGGCGGGGAGCCCCCCACUCCCAGGCCGGAGAAAACCCAAGUAGCUAGGUGGGCGGCAACAAACCGCAACUCCCGACAUUGCCAGGCAACAGCCAUUCAGUUCGGUUGCUGGGACACGCGUCACCAUGGCGACGGCUCCGCGCCGCGCAGUCUGAGUAUUUAAAGAGCAAGCGCGCGCAACGCCCGGGCGUCGGAAAGCGGCCUUCCGGGACUCCGCGAACUCCACUCUCCCUACCCCCUCCCCUUUACCAUUCCCUUCGCCUUCCGGGCGCCAAGUCUCUCUGGGCUCCAAGGUGAACCCAGCUCCCCAGCGCGCCCCGUGUUCCCGGGUCGGGCCGGCUUCAGGCGAUGGGGAGCGGGAUCCCGGGCCCCGGGCGGGCGGGAGGGACGGGACGCGGUGCAGUGUUGUUCUUUCCCCUGCCAAUAUUGCACUCGUCCCGGCCUCCGGCCCCCCCGGCCCCCCGGCCUCCACCUGCCCCCAGCGGAGCAGCCCCCGCCCUCCUGGCUCCCCAUCCCGGCGGAUCUCUGAUAGACUGGAGUGUUGCGGCUGCCACCGUGCUUGUGUCUGCAGUGAGAAGGGAGAUGGAGAGAAGCGGCUGCAGUCCCCACCCAUGGAGAGGCCACUGAGUUCCUCAGUGAUAUUCCUCUCUUGGAUCGCUUUGUUGUUUUCUGGGAUGGCUGUACUGGAGAUUGUGGAGUCAGGUCGAAGAUUUGGAAUAACAGAGUUAGAAACCCCCAGGAAGAACUCAGAGGCUCCUCCCAGCUCACCUGCAUCCUCAAGUAAGCCUUCUGUCCAGUCCUAAUCUCCAGCCCGUCGACCUCUGCUGGAGGAAUGGGGGCCAGUGCUGGAAGGCCUGCAUGUUGGUCACCCAGUUUGCAGUCCACAUAGAGAUGUAGGGCAGGGCUGGGUCUGGAGGGGCCUCGGAGUCGCAGGAGAACUGUGUGUGUGCGCCCAUCGGCCAGGCCUGCUUGCUGUAGGUUCACGGCGUGGACUUUGCCAUCCUCCCGCUGGUACCGCACCAGUACUGCCCAGGAGGGGAGAUCAGUAUGGGCACUGUCCCCUCAUCCCCUGCCUCCCAGUUGAGACUUGGAUCAACUCUGCUGGAUACAUCUCUAGGGCUCCCAUCCCUAAUUCUACUAUGUAGCUCUCAGCACCUUGUAUGUAAUAGGUACACAAUAAAUGUUUUUCAAAUUGGUUU